GUGAGGAAUCUUCCACAAUGGGCGAAAGCCUGAUGGAGCAACGCCGCGUGAAGGAUGAAGGUCUUCGGAUUGUAAACUUCUUUUAUGAGUGAAGAAUAUGACGGUAACUCAUGAAUAAGCACCGGCUAACUACGUGCCAGCAGCCGCGGUCAUACGUAGGGUGCAAGCAUUAUCCGGAGUGACUGGGCGUAAAGAGUUGCGUAGGCGGUUAUGUAAGCGAAUAGUGAAACCUGGUGGCUCAACCACACAGACUAUUAUUCGAACUGCAUAACUCGAGAAUGGUAGAGGUAACUGGAAUUUCUUGUGUAGGAGUGAAAUCCGUAGAUAUAAGAAGGAACACCAAUGGUGUAGGCAGGUUACUGGGCCAUUUCUGACGCUAAGGCACGAAAGCGUGGGGAGCGAACCGGAUUAGAAACCCCGGUAGUCC
rnacentral:rRNA from 1 species